rnacentral:tRNA from 1 species
AAGAGAGGUCUAGGACACAAAGAACUGCUAAUUCUUUUCAUCAUGGUUCAAAUCCAUGGCUCACUUA